CCAAUCAGUACUUGUGAUAUAAAAUCAAAUGUCAUGCUCCUCCAACAAAACGAAUCACUCUCCUUCCGAAACUUCUUCAUCACACAUUUUGAUUUCUAAAGCUUCUCCAUCAGCCCUUUAUCUAUUGGUUUUAAGCAAGCCAACCAUUAGACACUGUUUAUUCAGAGUUCAAACUGUAGAUCUACUCCUCAACUUCACAAAGUUUGAAACUUUUUGUGCUUCCAGUUCUAGAUCUGCAAAAAGAACUAAUCAGAAAGGAAACCAUAAAAGUGAAAUCAAGAGAGAGGGAGAAAGAAGUUACGAAGCCUGUCUUUCUGCAUGCUCUCGAACUAGUUGAGUCCGGUGGCUGUUGAAGGGGAAGGAAACCGAAAAAGCUUUCAUUCUUGCGAUUUCAGAUCAGAUCCAGAGAAGAUGAACAAAGUUUCCAUUCUUUUCCUCAUCUGAAAGAGAUUCCUCGUUUCAUCCUUGCGAUUUCAAACCAGAAUCGAUGGUUGGCUUGUUCUGGAGCAAAAUGAAAACGAACAAGCUCUGUCGGGUGAGAGAAGCAUGGAGGAUGAAGCGGCUAAGGUUUGAGAUGUGUGAGGGAAGAAGGAGAAGAGAGAAGGACAGUUGCGGCGGCUAGGGUAAGAUGUUGAGAAGAAGGAGGUUGUGGUGCUGCUAGGGUUAGAAGCUUCUGGAGAAUGAAGAAGGGAGGGAGAAGAACGGCUGAAGAAUGAAGAUUGAAUUAGGGUUAAGGAGUUAAGGAGUAUUUAUAUUAUGAAAUUGGGUUUUUUUGUUUUUUGUUUUUUUCUGAAGGGUGGCUUUGGGCUGGGCUUGUAUUAGGUCUCUAGGUUUUUUUUUUUUUAUUAGAGUGGGUUCGGUCGGCUCAGAGGUCAAACCGAACUCGACCGAACCAAACCGGCCUAACCCGGUUUUUUUCCGACCGCCAACCCGCCAACCGACCCGUCCGAACCGAGAUGGCCUUUUUUGGUAACGGGCCGGUCGGUUUCGGACGGGCCCAAAAUUUCUGGACAUGCCUAAUUACAUUCAUUUAUUUUUGCAAUAA